rfam:Schistosoma mattheei strain Denwood, Zambia genome assembly, scaffold: SMTD_scaffold0000518
AUCCAUCUGACGAGUCCCAAAUAGAACGGAACGCACGUCCUAGAU